AGACGAUAGCACUUCAAAUUAUUUUUAAAAUGCGUGGGAAAUCUAAGACUGUUCUCAGCAUCACAAGCCUCGUUCUGAGUGUUGUUACUAUCAGUGUUGUACUAUUUACACUGCAGUCUUCAUCAAAUACACUUGUUCAUAAUCAAAUCGAAAUCUUUCAGCUUUUGAAAGGGGAGAGUACAUCACCGGA